rnacentral:rRNA from 1 species
AGGUCCCUUGGGGUUUUGGCUCUUGUUCUAUGUUUCCCUGGGAAACGGAAGCUUCCUGAGAGGUGAGAAAUCCCGUUCUGAUGAGAUGCCCAUUCCUAUGUAAGGUGCUAUCGAAGAGUCGAGUUGUUUGGGAAUGCAGCUCUAAGUGGGUGGUAAAUUCCAUCUAAAGCUAAAUAUUGGCGAGAGACCGAUAGCGAACAAGUACAGUGAUGGAAAGAUGAAAAGAACUUUGAAAAGAGAGUGAAAAAGUACGUGAAAUUGUUGAAAGGGAAGGGCAUUAGAUCAGACUUGGUGUUUUACGAUUAUCUUCUCUUCUUGAGUUGUGCACUCGUAUUUCACUGGGCCAGCAUCGAUUCGGAUGGCAAGAUAAUGGCAGUUGAAUGUGGCUUCACUUCGGUGGAGUGUUAUAGCUUCUGCUGAUAUUGCCUGUCUGGAUCGAGGGCUGCGUCUUUUGACUAGGAUGCUGGCGUAAUGAUCUAAUGCCGCCCGUCUGAACCCGAACCC